AGCGAACGCUGGCGGCGUGCCUAACACAUGCAAGUCGAACGUGAAAGGGAGCAAUCCCACGUAAAGUGGCGUACGGGUGAGUAACACGUAGGUAAUCUACCCCAGACUCUGGAAUAACCGGCCGAAAGGCUGGCUAAUACUGGAUAGAGCGACGGAAUCCGUAAUUGGGUUUUUCGGGAAAGGGAGCCUGUAAAAAGGCCUUCGUUCUGGGAUGAGCCUGCGUCCCAUCAGCUAGUUGGUGAGGUAAAAGCUUACCAAGGCAAUGACGGGUAGCUGGUCUGAGAGGGCGAUCAGCCACACUGGGACUGAAACACGGGCCAGACUCCUUCGGGAGGCAGCAGUGGGGAAUCUUGCGCAAUGGACGAAAGUCUGACGCAGCAACGCCGCGUGAGGGAAGAAGGCCUUCGGGUUGGAAAGCUCUGUCGAGUGGGACGAAAAUGCUUGGAGUUCACAGCUCCAGGAACUGACGGUACCAAUAAAGGAAGCACCGGCUAACUCCGUG
rnacentral:rRNA from 1 species